UACUAUGUGUGAUUCGGAGGGAAACUCAGUGUGAGGGAUCGUUUGCACUCGAGGACGUUUUUAGACCCGAGCAUCUCUGAUACGCAGCCAGGAAUAGUUCGGCUCCGGAGGACGCGACACGCUUUCUACAAAUAGAGAUGUGAAGAUGUUCAUCAUUUGCACAUUGCAAAAUGUUCCCUGCAGGUUAUUUCGUGGAAAAGUCAGAAGAGAAAACCGAACCGGUUGGAGGCUGUGAAGAUUAACAGCAGGUCAACAACAGCUUUGUGGAUUUGAAGGAGCAGAUGAACACACGUCCCAGAUAAAGAGCUGACAUGUGAGCGAGCGCACACACACACACACACACACACACACACACACAUACACACACACACAC